AUUGAACGCUGGCGGCAGGCCUAACACAUGCAAGUCGGGCGAGCGGCGGACGGGUGAGUAAUGUAUGGGGAUCUAGCUUAUGGAGGGGGAUAACUACGGGAAACUGUAGCUAAUACCGCGUACCAUAGGAUGAGCCCAAGUGGGAUUAGGUAGUUGGUGAGGUAAAGGCUCACCAAGCCGACGAUCUCUAGCUGGUCUGAGAGGAUGACCAGCCACAAUGGACAUGAGCAACGUCCACGACGUUGACGUGAGGAAGCAGGUGGGAAUAGUGGACUAUGGGGGUAACUUGAUGCAGCCAUGACGCGUGAAUGAAGAAGGCCUUAGGUUUGUAAAGUACUGUCGGUAUAGAGUCUUUAACUACAGAAUAAGCACGGGCUAACUCCGUGCCAGCAGCCGCGGUAAUUC
rnacentral:rRNA from 1 species